GACAGAGGGUGCAAACGUUGUUCGGAAUUACUGGGCGUAAAGCGCGUGUAGGCGGCUUCGCAAGUCGGGUGUGAAAGCCCUGGGCUCAACCUAGGAAGUGCACUCGAAACUGCAAAGCUGGAGUCCUGGAGAGGAAGGCGGAAUUCUCGGUGUAGAGGUGAAAUUCGUAGAUAUCGAGAGGAACACCGGUGGCGAAGGCGGCCUUCUGGACAGUGACUGACGCUGAGACGCGAAAGCGUGGGGAGCAAACAGG
rnacentral:rRNA from 1 species